GCCUCGUCGUCCGCUCGAAGGAGAAGGGGUCGUCCCGAUCCCCUUACACUCCUGGUGGAGUGGCCGAGAGGCGA
rnacentral:tRNA from 1 species